rnacentral:rRNA from 1 species
CGGGUUUGGUAUGUACUAACAAGGAUUCCCCUAGUAACUGCGAGUGAAGCGGGAAAAGCUCAAAUUUAAAAUCUGGCAGCUAUGCUGUCCGAGUUGUAAUCUGUAGAAGUGUUUUCUGCAUUGGACCAUGUACAAGUCUCUUGGAAUAGAGUGUCAUAGAGGGUGAGAAUCCUGUCCAUGACAUGGACUACCAAUGCUUUUGUGAUACACUCUCAAAGAGUCGAGUUGUUUGGGAAUGCAGCUCAAAAUGGGUGGUAAAUUCCAUCUAAGGCUAAAUAUAGGCGAGAGACCGAUAGUGAACAAGUACCGUGAGGGAAAGAUGAAAAGCACUUUGGAAAGAGAGUUAAAUAGUAUGUGAAAUUGUUGAAAGGGAAACACUUGAAGUCAGUCAUAUCCUACAGGACUCAGCCUUUGUCCUUUUGGACUUGGUGUAUUUCUUGCAGGAUAGGUCAACAUCAGUCUUGGUCAGUGGAUAAAGAAGGAGGAAAUGUAGCAUCUGUAAUAGGGUGUGUUAUAGCUCUCCCUCAUAUACAUUGACUGGGAUUGAGGACUGCAGCAUGCCCUUUUGUGGCCCUAGUGGUUUACUAUGUUACAUGCUUAGGAUGUUGACAGAAUGGCUUUAAGUGACCCGUCUUGAAACACGGACCAAGGAGUCUAACAUGCCUGCAAGUGUUUAGGUGGAAAACCUUUAUGCAUAAUGAAAGUGAAAGUUGGGAACCUUCGCAAGGGGGUGCACUGAUGCCUGGCCCUGAUGUUUACUGAUGGUGCUGUGGUAGAGCAUGUAUGUUGGGACCCGAAAGAUGGUGAACUAUGCCUGAAUAGGGUGAAGCCAGAGGAAACUCUGGUGGAAGCUCGUAGCGAUUCUGACGUGCAAAUCGAUCGUCAAAUUUGGGUAUAGGGGCGAAAGACUAAUCGAACCAUCUAGUAGCUGGUUCCUGCCGAAGUUUCCCUCAGGAUAGCAGAAACUCAUAUCAGAUUUAUGUGGUAAAGCGAAUGAUUAGAGGCCUUGGGGUUGAAACAGCCUUAACCUAUUCUCAAACUUUAAAUAUGUAAGAACGAGUUGUCACUUUAUUGGAUUGCUUGACGAUUGAGAGUUUCUAGUGGGCCAUUUUUGGUAAGCAGAACUGGCGAUGCGGGAUGAACCGAACGUGAGGUUAAGGUGCCAGAAUGCACGCUCAUCAGACACCACAAAAGGUGUUAGUUCAUCUAGACAGCAGGACGGUGGCCAUGGAAGUUGGAAUCCGCUAAGGAGUGUGUAACAACUCACCUGCCGAAUGAACUAGCCCUGAAAAUGGAUGGCGCUCAAGCGUGCUACCCAUACCUCACCAUCCAUGUUGAAGUGAUGCAUGGAUGAGUAGGCAGGCGUGGAGGUUUGUGAAGAAGCCUGGCAGUAAUGCUGGAAAACCC